rnacentral:rRNA from 1 species
UACGUAGGGUGCGAGCGUUAAUCGGAAUUACUGGGCGUAAAGUGUGCGCAGGCGGCCGCGCAAGUCGAGUGUGAAAGCCCCGGGCUUAACUUGGGAAUUGCGCUCGAAACUACGUGGCUGGAGUAUGGUAGAGGAAGGUGGAAUUCCCGGUGUAGCAGUGAAAUGCGUAGAGAUCGGGAGGAACACCAGUGGCGAAGGCGGCCUUCUGGACCAAUACUGACGCUCAUGCACGAAAGCGUGGGGAGCAAACAGG